rnacentral:rRNA from 1 species
GAGUUUGAUCCUGGCUCAGGAGAAGCGGGCGGCGUGCUUAACACAUGCAAGUCGAACGGAGCGAAUGAAAGCUUGCCUUUAUGAGCUUAGUGGCAAACGGGUGAGUAACACGUAGACAACCUGCCGACAGGAUGGGGACAACAUUCCGAAAGGAAUGCUAAUACCGAAUGAAGCGGAGGAGAGGCAUCUCUCUUCCGUGAAGGAUGGCCUCUGAACAUGCUAUCACCUGUCGAUGGGUCUGCGUCUGAUUAGCUGGUUGGUGAGGUAACGGCUCACCAAGGCGACGAUCAGUAGCCGGUCUGAGAGGAUGAACGGCCACAUUGGGACUGAGACACGGCCCAGACUCCUACGGGAGGCAGCAGUGGGGAAUCUUCCGCAAUGGGCGCAAGCCUGACGGAGCAACGCCGCGUGAGUGAAGAAGGCCUUCGGAUCGUAAAGCUCUGUUGAUGGGGACGAACGUGCGAAGGGUGAAUAAUCCUUUGCAAUGACGGUACCUAUCGAGGAAGCCACGGCUAACUACGUGCCAGCAGCCGCGGUAAUACGUAGGUGGCGAGCGUUGUCCGGAAUCAUUGGGCGUAAAGGGAGCGCAGGCGGGCAUGUAAGUCUUUCUUAAAAGUUCGGGGCUCAACCCCGUGAUGGGAAAGAAACUACAUGUCUUGAGUACAGGAGAGGAAAGCGGAAUUCCCAGUGUAGCGGUGAAAUGCGUAGAUAUUGGGAGGAACACCAGUGGCGAAGGCGGCUUUCUGGACUGCAACUGACGCUGAGGCUCGAAAGCCAGGGGAGCGAACGGGAUAGAUACCCCGGUAGUCCUGCCCGUAUCCGAUGGAUACU